rnacentral:rRNA from 1 species
CCCUUAGAUGUUCUGGGCUGCACGCGCGCUACACUGAUGCGUUCAACAAGUGUUAACCUUGCCCGAUAGGGUUGGGUAAUCUUUUGAAAGCGCAUCGUGAUGGGGAUCGAUGACUGCAAUUGUUCAUCUUCAACGAGGAAUUCCUAGUAAGCGCAAGUCAUCAGCUUGCACUGAUUACGUCCCUGCCCUUUGUACACACCGCCCGUCGCUCCUACCGAUUGAGCGAUCCGGUGAAUAGUUCGGAUCGUGCAGGUUGCCUUCGGGUGCUUGUAUGAGAAGUUCAGUAAACCUUAUCACUUAGAGGAAGGAGAAGUCGUAACA